rnacentral:lncRNA from 1 species
GCUCCUGUGACAAUGACAUUUUCUUUAGGAGUUCAGCAAAACUGCCUCACUGUUAACUUUUAAUGAACAUCUUUUCUUCCUUUGAACCUGAAUUUGGGCCCCACUGUUCAUUUCAGAGGACGGCUGACUCAAUGGAGAGCUCCCAUGGGAGGCGUGCCAACAGUUCCUGGGACAAUGAGUGGCACAGAGGCGCCACAGUCGUUAUUUUGGAGCAUUAUUCUUUCUUGGUUUCCACAAUAGCUGGGAUCUCAUAAUUUAACAUUAAGCCUCUUUUCAACUAUAUGGAAGUGUAAUAAGGUGAUUUAGCCAAUGUGCCUGUUCGUUGUCCCAAAGAUUCUGUGAUCUAUUAUGCU